AUUGAACGCUAGCGGGAUGCUUUACACAUGCAAGUCGAGCGGAGCGGCGGACGGGUGAGUAAUGCCUAGGAAUCUGCCUGGUAGCGGGGGAUAACGUCCGGAAACGGGCGCUAAUACCGCAUACUAUCAGAUGAGCCUAGGUCGGAUUAGCUAGUUGGUGGGGUAAAGGCCUACCAAGGCGACGAUCCGUAACUGGUCUGAGAGGAUGAUCAGUCACACUGGAACUGAGACACGGGCCAGACUCCUACGGGAGGCAGCAGUGGGGAAUAUUGGACAAUGGGGGAAAGCCUGAUCCAGCCAUGCCGCGUGUGUGAAGAAGGUCGUCGGAUUGUAAAGCACUUUUAGUUGGGAGGCGGUACCUACAGAAUAAGCACCGGCUAACUUCGUGCCAGCCGCCGCGGUAAUAC
rnacentral:rRNA from 1 species